rnacentral:rRNA from 1 species
AAUAUUGCACAAUGGGGGAAACCCUGAUGCAGCGACGCCGCGUGAGUGAAGAAGUAUUUCGGUAUGUAAAGCUCUAUCAGCAGGGAAGAAAAUGACGGUACCUGACUAAGAAGCCCCGGCUAACUACGUGACAGCAGCCGCGGUAAUACGUAGGGGGCAAGCGUUAUCCGGAUUUACUGGGUGUAAAGGGAGCGUAGGAGGUGCAGCAAGUCAGAUGUGAAAGCCCGGGGCUCAACCCCGGGACUGCAUUUGAAACUGUCGUGCUAGAGUGCAGGAGAGGUAAGUGGAAUUCCUAGUGUAGCGGUGAAAUGCGUAGAUAUUAGGAGGAACACCAGUGGCGAAGGCGGCUUACUGGACUGUAACUGACGCUGAGGUACGAAAGCGUGGGUAGCGAAC